CGCCUUGCCAGCCCGCUCAGAACUCAAAGGAAUUGACGGGGGCCCGCACAAGCGGAGGAGCAUGUGGUUUAAUUCGAUGAUACGCGAGGAACCUUACCUGGGCUCGAACGUAAGAUGACUGUAGGUGAAAGCUUACAUCUCUUCGGAGCAUUUUACGAGGUGCUGCAUGGUUGUCGUCAGCUCGUGCCGUGAGGUGUCGGGUUAAGUCCCAUAACGAGCGCAACCCCUACCUUUAGUUGCCAUCAGGUUAAGCUGGGGACUCUAAAGGAACUGCCUACGCAAGUAGUGAGGAAGGCGGGGAUGACGUCAAAUCAGCACGGCCCUUACGUCCAGGGCUACACACGUGCUACAAUGGCCGAUACAGAGGGCAGCUACCUGGUGACAGGAUGCAAAUCUCCAAAGUCGGUCUCAGUUCGGAUCGGAGUCUGCAACCCGACUCCGUGAAGUUGGAUUCGCUAGUAAUCGCGCAUCAGCCAUGGCGCGGUGAAUACGUUCCCGGGCCUU
rnacentral:rRNA from 1 species